AUGGCAGACCAAGCAACAAUGGAAGACAUUGCGUUGUUCACCUUUUUGUCUCUCAUCUUCAUCCUCUUCACCUCCAAAUUCCUCUUCUUCAAACGUCGACGUUACGCCAACCUCCCACCAAGCCCACCUUAGCUUCCAAUUAUCGGCCACCUCCACCUCCUCAAACCUCCAGUCCACCGCACCUUCCACCGCCUCUCCCAAACCUACGGCGCCAUCUUCUCUCUCUGGUUCGGCUCCCGCCGCGUUGUUAUAGUUUCCUCCCCGGUCGCUGUCCAAGAAUGUUUCACCAAAAACGACAUCGUCCUCGCCAACCGCCCUAAGGGGAUCCUCGGCAAGUACAUCGGUUACAACUGGUCCACCAUGGUCUCCGCCCCCUACGGUGACCACUGGAGCAACCUCCGCCGCAUCGGCGCCAUCGAAAUCUUCUCAUCUCAGCGCCUCAACAUGUUCUCCACUAUCCGCAAAGACGAGGUCAAACACUUGGUCCGCAGGCUAGCUAAGAACUCGAGUUCUGGAAACUUCUCCAAGGUGGAAAUGAAGUCCAUGUUCAACGAGCUCUCCUUUAACAUCAUAAUGACAAUGGUGGCGGGGAAGAGGUACUACGGCGACGACAUCGACGACUCGGACAAAGAGGAUGCCACGAAGUUCAGGGAGAACAUGACUGCGGUUUUCACGUACGGCAGCGCUUCGAAUCCGGCAGAUAUCUUCCCGGUUUUAAAAUGGGUUGGGAUUAAUGGGCAUGAGAAGAAGAUGGGAGUUGGGGAAGAGGAGUGAUGCGUUUCUUCAAGGUCUCACAUGAUGAGCAUAAAGGAGUUAAGAGAAACACCAUGAUUGAUCAUUUGUUUUCUCUGCAAGAAUCACAGCCCGAGUACUACACUGAUGAAAUCAUCAAAGGGCUUAUAAUUAAUGCGGCACUAGAAUGGAUUGUGUCCAAUCUUCUUAACCAUCCUCAUGUGUUGGAAAAGGCUAGAGUAGAACUGGACUCUCAUCUCGGUCUAGAUCGCUUGGUGGACGAGCCCGACGUCUCCAAGUUGCCUUACCUACAAAGCAUCAUUUCUGAAACCCUCCGACUUCAUCCGCCGCCGCUUCUGGUGCCGCAUUUUUCGUCCGAUGAUUGUACGAUUGGGGGAUUUGAUGUGCCUCGUGACACUAUGGUAAUGGUUAAUGCAUGGGCGAUACAUAGAGACCAUGAGUUGUGGGAUGAUCCAGAAAGCUUUAAGCCGGAGAGGUUCCAAAGUGGCGAGAAUGACUCUUACAAAUUCAUGCCGUUUGGACGAGGAAGAAGAGCUUGACCUGGAAUAGGUCUGGCUCAACGUGAAGUAGGGCUAACUUUAGGUACGUUGAUUCAAUGCUUUGAAUGGAAGAGAGUAGAUGAUGAAGACGUUGAUUGGAUUGAAGGCAAAGGAGUCACCAAUCCUAAAGCUGUGCCAUUGGAGGCUACGUGUAGAGCACGUCCAAUUGUGAAAAAAAAAAUCUUACUUAGCUAUAGCUAUAGGCAAAGCUUUAAAGUCCAGUACGCUGUUGAACUAGUUUAG